GUGGGGAAUCUUAGACAAUGGGGGCAACCCUGAUCUAGCCAUGCCGCGUGAGUGAUGAAGGCCUUAGGGUCGUAAAGCUCUUUCGCCGGGGAAGAUAAUGACUGUACCCGGUAAAGAAACCCCGGCUAACUCCGUGCCAGCAGCCGCGGUAAUACGGAGGGGGUUAGCGUUGUUCGGAAUUACUGGGCGUAAAGCGCGCGUAGGCGGAUCGGAAAGUUGGGGGUGAAAUCCCGGGGCUCAACCCCGGAAUUGCCUUCAAAACUCCCGGUCUUGAGGUCGAGAGAGGUGAGUGGAAUUCCGAGUGUAGAGGUGAAAUUCGUAGAUAUUCGGAGGAACACCAGUGGCGAAGGCGGCUCACUGGCUCGAUACUGACGCUGAGGUGCGAAAGCGUGGGGAGCAAACAGGAUUAGAAACCCUUGUAGUCC
rnacentral:rRNA from 1 species